CCCAGUGCCCACAGAAGAGGAAUGCCUCUGUUGCAAGGAAUGGGACCGGUCGCAGCCUUAUUUUCAAGGUCUGGAUGUGACCGAGGACGAGACACCUCCACCUGGAGUAACGUUAGUAUCCAGCUGGGCUUUAUAUUUCGGCCGCGCUUUGGAAAGCAGAGUUAAAAUGGUAAACAAACAUGGCACCACACCGGUAAGGGUCCAUGAGGUCGUUGAAGAGCUCUGGACAGUUGACCACCACCACUUCACCGACUCUGGCCGCCUGCCAGCAGGUCAGGUUAUCCCACAUCCAUGGACACACUAAAGAGAUGAGAGAAACACAAACACAACAAGAAUUACAGUGGAGUAACUAAGGUGGAUCUGGUUCCAAGGUGCAGUCGGGGAAACUAUUAACCCGGUGGUAGUCGAGUUAAUGCCUUGCUGCCGAGAUAAGAUGGGGCAUCAACCAACUGUGAAGAUGUCCCAGGAUUCACCUCCUUUCUUUACUGCACCACACGUGGGCG